rnacentral:rRNA from 1 species
GACGAACGCUGGCGGCGUGCUUAACACAUGCAAGUCGAACGGAAAGGCCCUGCUUUUGUGGGGUGCUCGAGUGGCGAACGGGUGAGUAACACGUGAGUAACCUGCCCUUGACUUUGGGAUAACUUCAGGAAACUGGGGCUAAUACCGGAUAUGAGCUCCUGCUGCAUGUUGGGGGUUGGAAAGUUUCGGCGGUUGGGGAUGGACUCGCGGCUUAUCAGCUUGUUGGUGGGGUAGUGGCUUACCAAGGCUUUGACGGGUAGCCGGCCUGAGAGGGUGACCGGCCACAUUGGGACUGAGAGACGGACCAGACGCCUACGGGAGGCAGCAGUGGGGAAUAUUGCACAAUGGGCGGAAGCCUGAUGCAGCAACGCCGCGUGCGGGAUGACGGCCUUCGGGUUGUAAACCGCUUUCGCCUGUGACGAAGCGUGAGUGACGGUAAUGGGUAAAGAAGCACCGGCUAACUACGUG